UACGUAGGGUGCGAGCGUUGUCCGGAAUUAUUGGGCGUAAAGAGCUUGUAGGCGGUUUGUCGCGUCUGCUGUGAAAAUCCGGGGCUCAACCCCGGACUUGCAGUGGGUACGGGCAGACUAGAGUGUGGUAGGGGGAGACUGGAAUUCCUGGUGUAGCGGUGGAAUGCGCAGAUAUCAGGAGGAACACCGAUGGCGAAGGCAGGUCUCUGGGCCACUACUGACGCUGGAGGAGCGAAAGCCGUGGGGAGCGAACAGG
rnacentral:rRNA from 1 species